rnacentral:tRNA from 9 species
GCCCCUUUAGCUCAGUUGGUUAGAGCACCCGACUCAUAAUCGGUAGGUCCCCUGUUCAAGUCAGGGAAGGGGCACCA